CCAUGCAGUGAAGUCAGCCAGCAGUGGCCAGAACAGGCUCCAGCCCUCCGCCCACCAGCAGCCACAGGUGCCACCCACCUGGGCUAGCCCUGGGUGGAGACGCUUGCUCUCUGCAGUGUCAGGCACUGCGGCUGUUCAGGGCUGUCCUGGGCAUCUAGGCAGAACCCCCCGGCACACCCACACCAUGGUGGCUCUGGGGAGCGACUGGCCCCCAGUGGGUGACUGGGGUCAGACCCUGUGGCCACUGUGACCCACAGAGCUCCCACCAGGGGUCUCAGGGACACCCACCACCUGUCACUGGGUCGCUGAUAUUUGCUUCUGUAAAAGUGUCAGCCAGUUGAAAUGAAACUUUUGUUUCUCGCCCUGUCUUCACGACAUCUUCUCAGACCCCUCACUCACUCCUGUGGGACAAAAACUGCUCCUCACAGAUGAGCCCCCCACCCCCUGGCCGACAGUUAGGGCUGAGCCCAGAGACCCGGGUGUUGAGGACUGUGAUGUACGAGCAGCCCCAUCCACACCAGAGGGCUGGCAGACCAGGCCCUCGUCCUGCCCAGCCCCUCAGCCAGCAGCACUGCCUGACUGCCCAGGACCUAUGUGCAGCAAAGCUGGCCUCCUGGGGCAGCACCAGGUACCCUCUGAGUAGGGCCCCCUGGCCAUGAAGCCACCUGAGGGCCCAAGGCUGAGGAGCCCCUGCCGUACUCUGCAGCUCUGGCCUGGCACCGGCCCUUCCCAGCACCCCACCUGCGAGUGUGCGCUGCACACCCAUCCAUGCAUCUGCACACCUGUGAUCCAUGCGUCUGCACACCUGUGAGUGCGUCCACCCCGUGCCAACAGCAGGCAGGGAGCCGCCCUGACAACCACGGUGGGGGCACCCAAGUCUGCACUGCCGGGCAAGCUGGCCACCCACAGAGGCUGUCCUCACCCAGAGCAUCACACGCAUCAAAAGGAAGGACGCUGGCACUGAAGCCUGGGGGGACCCUGAGGACUCUGUGGCCAGUGAAGGAGGCCGGCAACAAAGGGCGUGUUCCGUGACUCCGCUCCUGGGAAACACCUGGAGCAGGCAAAUCUGGAUGAGGGGUGAGGGGUCGCCGGGGGCUGCGGAGGGGACGGCGCAGGGUUUCUUUGGAGGUGAUGCAGAUGUUGAAAAUGGACUGUGGUGAUGGUUGUGCAGCUCUGUGGAAAAUGAAAAACACUGAAUUUUACAAUUUAAAUGCUGUGCAAGUCAUAUCUCGAUAAAGCUGUUUAAAUAAAAAGAAAGAACAUUGGGCCGGGCAUGGUGGCUCAUGCCUGGAAUCCCAGCACUUUGGGAGGCCAAGGCAGAUGGAUCACUUGAGGCCUGGAGUUCGAUACCAGCCUGGACAACAUGGCAAAACCCCAUCUCUAUAAAAAAUACGAAAAUUAGCCGGGUGUGGUGGCGCACACGUGUAAUCCCAGCUACUCGGGAGGCCAAGGCAGGAGAAUCACUUGAACGUGGAAGGUGGAGGUUGCAGUGAGCCAAGACUGCGCUACUGAACUCUAGCCUGGGCGACAAAGCGAGACUGUCUCAGAAAAACAAACAAACAAAAAACAUUAAAUUGGGGUGCCACAGGGGUGUUUGGGCAAAGGCUAUGUGCCUCCCUCCGCCUGGGCCAGGUCUCCAGGCUCCCGGCACCCUGGUUCCUCUCCAUCCCCUCAAAGGCGGUAGUACCUGGAGCCAGCCCUGGAGACCUCCCGGCCGGCCAGCGUAGCUGCAAAGGCUGGGGGCCAGCACCAGGCUCUUCUGGAGCCAGCAUGGGCACUGACCCUGGCGCCCAAGUGGCCCUUCAUGGAGUACCGGGUCUGGUUAGGGCAGAGGGUGGACAAGCAGGCACAGGGUGUCUUUGUGCCUGGGAAGGGGUGGCAAAGGCAAAGAGAACCACGGUGGAAUGUACCCUGCUACAGGGGCUGGCCUGGGCCCAGCUCCCUGCAGCCUCCUACGGGCCCCUCACUCCCCUCUGCUCCCUGGGUGCCCACGAUGCAGGCAGCUGGGCAGGGGCUUCAGCCUCAGAGGGCCCCCGUGGGAUCAGUCCAGCCUCACCACAACCACACUCCAGCAAGGGCAGGGCCACUGGGCCUGGGGGCGGCUGGAGGGGGCAUGGCCACAGGCAGGCAGCCUUCCCGCUGGAGGAGGCACCACCCCACCCCACUUCGGACCCCCUUGGACAGCCCCUCCCGAGGCCCAUGACUGUAGGAGGCCUAGGGGUGGACCCUGCGGCGCCCCUGCCCACAGGCCGGCAGAGCCCCCCAGCCCUUGUUUUCCCGAGGUUGAAGUGGUUACAGAUAUAUUAAUUAUAUUUCUGCCCCUUAAUGGGCUGCUUACUUUAUGAUGUGGGGACACAAAAGUAAAUUUUAAAAUCAAUUAUACAAUUACAUAUGUAGCAAUAACAGAGGACACAGCUAAUCUUCACCGGGUCAGGACUGCAACCUUCCAAUAAUGCAGGUUUCAUUAGGGGAAGGGCUGUUAUUGCCAAGAAUUACAGAAAUAAUGGGAGAGGGUGUAUUCAGCGAGAAGUUAACAAAUGAGGCUGCUCUGGAGAUAAGACGCAGAGCCGGCUGCCGGCUAGAGCCGUGGAGGCCGACACAUCGGGGUCACCCGCUGCUGCGGGAACAAGAAUUAAUUUUAGACGCUUCCUUGGGGUCUGGCGGCGGGGGCUUCUGCCUAGCGGAGGGGGGGGCGAGGGGCGGGCGCGGAGUGGGGUCCCUCAGCCUCCUUCCUCUCCGCUACUGGAUCCUGUCGCUGGAGGCCCCGCCGCCGGGCCCGCCCUGAUGGCGCGGGUGGACCAGGGGACAGGUGGCCAGGUUGCCAGCACAGGGUAGGAGUGCGUGGGCUCGGCGAGGGCUCAAGGGCUCCUCUGCAGUCAGCGUGGGGCUGCGCCACGGCCCCGGCACCCACAAGCCACGGGGAUGGUUUCCAGGGGCGGGGAUCGAACCAGCGUCCAAAGCCUGCUGAGCCCAGAAGGGCGGAAGCCAGGCUCGGGGAGGGAACGGCUGGAAAGGCAGGGCGGAAAGGCUCCCUGGAAAGGCUCCCUGCACUCAGCACGGAAGCAGCUUCUGGAAAGGUCUCAGCCGCUCUGGGUCUGGCUUCAGGAGCGGGGUCCUUCCCAGCCGUCGUCACUCUGCAAAGACCCGAGCGACCCCGGGACACCAGCCCCGGCCUGUCCAGGGUGCGCGGACCCCUCCCUACGCGGCGGCGACCCCGGGGACGCCUCUCCCUCCUCCAGCCCCUCCGAGGCCGCCCCGGGGACGCCUCUCCCCCCUCCAGCCCCUCCGAGGCCGCCCCGGGGACGCCUCUCCCCCCUCCAGCCCCGCCCAGGCCGCCCCGGGGACGCCUCUCCCCCCUCCAGCCCCUCCGAGGCCGCCCCGGGGACGCCUCUCCCCCCUCCAGCCCCGCCCAGGCCGCCCCGGGGACGCCUCUCCCCCCUCCAGCCCCGCCCCGGGGACGCCUCUCCCCCCUCCAGCCCCUCCGAGGCCGCCCCGGGGACGCCUCUCCCCCCUCCAGCCCCUCCGAGGCCGCCCCGGGGACGCCUCUCCCCCCUCCAGCCCCGCCCAGGUCGCCCCGGGGACGCCUCUCCCCCCUCCAGCCCCUCCGAGGCCGCCCCGGGGACG
rnacentral:lncRNA from 1 species